GGGCCACUCAUCUUCAGAAAAUGCCAUCUGCUAUACUCUGUCAGAGCUUCUUAUGAGUGUCCUCUUUAUUCAACAACCAUCAAUAAUAACAGUAAUGGAAUGAACUACCUGAGGCCUAGAGGGGAGAGCAGUCAAAGGCUAGGACACAGACCCUAAUGUUGCAUUCAACUUCCUGUCUGGAAGACCAGGAUGAAGUUGCUUCUGAUCUCUAUGCUGGCAAUGAGCAAGGCAGCACCCAUGUCAGGAGUGUGAGGUAAAUACCUACAGGAUUGCUGAGUUAAAUGG